AGGAUGGGUGUUUUUGUCUGGUAAUCUGUAAGCAUUUGGGCUAAAUAAAGCUCUGUGUUAAAAUAUUAGUGAUUUGCUUACUUUUUCUACUUUAACUGACGUGGGUUGUUUACAAACAUCCAGCAAAUCUUUCCCUUUUUGUCAGCCGGCUGUGGGUGGUGUAAUUCCUGCGUGCCUAAUUCUAAUAUAUGGGUUGAUUGCCUUUAGUUCAUUGGCUGAAUAAUCUGACCUGGGACUAUAUGUAGGCCAGGUGGCUGUUACCUGGGACACACCCUCUGUGGUUCCCACCCCCCUUCCUCGGCGUGCUGCUGGGCGAGGUCUGCAGUUUGGCGUUUGGUGUGGCUGGGUGAAUGCUCUCCUUUGUCUUGGGAAUUUUCACAAGCGUGCGUGCUGAGGCAUUUGUGAGGAGAUUGCUCCGGUGGUUUAUGCCACGUGCAAAGGUUUCCGUCUGUGGUAGGUUAUAAUUUCCUUUCACUGACUUUGAUGCUAUAAUAAACCCUCAGUGGGUUAAUCUGGUUUAUAUCUUUAGUGUGAAGCUACGAGAAGUGUUGUGACUUUCCCGCUGUCUGCCGUGGAGAAGUGAAGCCUUGGUGGGUAUGGGUGAGCGCCUAUGUAUAUUUUAAAUUUAGUUAUUUUCUAGUUCUGAUGUUACGGGGUGGUCCUAAUGUUUUGCAGGAAGCUGGGGUGGUGGAGUACGGGGAGUGUCCAAUACAGCUCUACCCGUGUGUGUGUGAGAUCACCUGUGUCCCCCUCUUCGCGGAGGCUCCUCCCCCUGCAUUAGUGCUAUUGUUUUUUUUUUGUAUUUUCUUUUGGGCUUUAUGGUUCUUUUCUAUUUUUUCCUCUGCUUAUUAUUGUUAUAUUUUGUGUUAAUUGUUUUGUAUGUCCAGACUCAGUCCUGGUGUGUAUGCUGCCUCCGGUGAGCUGUAGCGGACUGGUUUGCUUUUUUUUCUGAACGCGCGCUGCAUGUGACUCAGCGCGCUGUGUGUGUGUGUCUGUGUGUGUGUGUGUUACUAUACUUCCUGGGUCCUGAGUUGCGCGCUGCUGCGGGAGGGAAAGCCUGUAUGGUCAGUAAGCGUGAUUUAUUUAUUUUUAUGUUGCCGGGCUGUGUAUGGUUUAGUUGUGUUGGUAUAAUUGUUUAUUUGAGUUAAUUUGUUUGGUUUUUUUGUGUCUGAACAGGAGCUGGGAGUGGUGACAGGCUGCUGAGGUGUUGAAGUCUAACUGGGUGUGCUUAGUGGUGUUUGUGUGCUGUGUAGUGGGGACUCCUCUCACCUGCAGUUAGCACUGGUCACAGUGUGCUCCAGCCCUGUUCAGGUUUUGUUUUUGAUUUUUGGUGUUUGUGUUUCUUUCGUUGUGUUUCUUUUUGUAUUUAUUUAUUGAUUUAUUGGUUUUGUUUUUUUGUAAUAUUUGAUAUUUAUUAAAAGUUAUAUUUUUAAGUAUAA